rnacentral:rRNA from 1 species
UACGUAGGUGACAAGCGUUGUCCGGAUUUACUGGGCGUAAAGAGCGCGCAGGCGGUCGUUCAAGUCGAGUGUGAAAGCCCCCGGCUCAACUGGGGAGGGUCAUUCGAUACUGAUCGACUCGAAGGCAGGAGAGGGAAGUGGAAUUCCCGGUGUAGUGGUGAAAUGCGUAGAUAUCGGGAGGAACACCAGUGGCGAAGGCGACUUCCUGGCCUGUUCUUGACGCUG